rnacentral:rRNA from 1 species
AUGAACGCUGGCGGUAUGCUUAACACAUGCAAGUCGAACGAACCUUCGGGUUAGUGGCGCACGGGUGAGUAACACGUGGGAAUGUGCCUCUGGGUGCGGAACAACGUCGGGAAACUGACGCUAAUACCGCAUAAUGUCUACGGACCAAAGAUUUAUUGCCCAGAGAUCAGCCCGCGUCUGAUUAGCUAGUUGGUGAGGUAAUGGCUCACCAAGGCGACGAUCAGUAGCUGGUCUGAGAGGAUGAUCAGCCACACUGGAACUGAGACACGGUCCAGACUCCUACGGGAGGCAGCAGUUAGGAAUAUUGGACAAUGGGGGCAACCCUGAUCCAGCCAGGCCGCGUGUGUGAAGAAGGCCUUAGGGUUGUAAAGCACUUUCGGCUGUGAAGAUAAUGACAGUAGCAGAAGAAGAAGCUCCGGCUAAAUUCGUGCCAGCAGCCGCGGUAAU